rfam:Candidatus Desulforudis audaxviator MP104C, complete genome.
CCGUGCUAGAUGGGGAGGUAGCGGUGCCCUGUAACCCGCAAUCCGCUAUAGCGGGGUUGAAUUCCUGUCCGAGGGCUUGGCUUGUGGGGUCCGGCUGUGAUAAGGGGUGUUGACGGUUGGGUCUUGCGCGACGGAGCUUCUCGAACCGUGUCAGAUCCUGACGGAAGCAGCACUAAGGGAAAUCCUCCGGGUGCCGCGAGGGUGCCUGACCCGAGCUACCUGCUACAGUAACGCCCGGAAGUCAUUGUUCAGAGACAGGUGCACGG